UCCGAGUGGUGUGGAUGUUUAUUGGGCCUAAGCAUCCGUAGCUGGCUAGGUCAGUCCCUUGUUAAAUCCACCGAAUUAAUCGUUGGAUUGCGGGGGAUACUGCUUGGCUAGGGGACGAGAGAGGCAGACGGUAUUUUCGGGGUAGGGGUGAAAUCCUAUAAUCCCGGGAAGACCACCAGUGGCGAAGGCUGUCUGCUAGAACGCGCCCAACGGUGAGGGAUGAAAGCUGGGGGAGCGAACCGGAUUAGAGACCCGGGUAGUCCCAGCUGUAAACGAUGCAGACUAGGUGUUUGGACGGCCACGUGCCGUUCUAGUGCCGCAGGGAAGCUGUUAAGUCUGCCGCCUGGGGAGUACGAUCGCAAGAUUGAAACUUAAAGGAAUUGGCGGGGGAGCACCACAAGGGGUGAAGCUUGCGGUUUAAUCGGAGUCAACGCCGGAAAUCUCACCGGGAGCGACAGCAGUAUGAAGGCCAGAUUAAGGGUCUUGCCAGACGAGCUGAGA
rnacentral:rRNA from 1 species